AGAGGAAACUGUAGGGGGUUUUC
rnacentral:piRNA from 1 species